AGAGACUGAAGAGUUUGACGGAAGAGACUUCACAGAGCCUGUGAGAACGGACAGGGGAAUAGGAGUGGAGUAGCUCAGAUGAGUAUUAGGGAUAAAGGAUGAGGGUCAUAUACUGUACGCGCCGGUAUGAAACAGGACUCGCACUGGAAACAGAUGAGAGCGCUCUCAGGCAAAAGCCAAUAGAUGAAAGAAACUCCACCAUUGGAUUAGCAGAAUCCGUUCUGCAUGCCUUGAUGAGACUUUGGAAUGUUCCACCUCCAAGUUUGCAAUCUUUAAGGUCUUUCAGAGACUGUGACCAAAAAUAGGCUCGUGUUGUAUGUGACCAUGUGGUGUUUGUAUUUGGAUGAAAUCUGUUAAAGGGACACCCAGCUCAGUGUGCAUUGGCUUUGAAAUAUGGAGCGACAGUUUCGGGAAGCGUUCCACACAAUGAUAAAUAUGCUAACAAAAUGCUUCAAACACAACAGGACAGACUGACGAUUUACACUGAAACAUGAUGGGAGCUUUUUCAGCUCCAUGGCAAUUUUACACUCAUGGUCUGUUUUUUAAGAGGCCCGACGACCCUCAAAAACAUAUUUCACAUGGAAGAACCAGGUUCAUACCUUUACAAACCUUCAACAUGAAAAAUGUUGCAUUGCUUUCUAGAUAAACAUUCCUGUGAAUUGUUUAAUUCAAUUUUAAUUUUAAUUUCCUACAAUGUGCUGAUGUCGACCGGCCAUUAAUCAGAGUUUUCUUUACUCCAAACAAACAAUCGGCAACCAGAAGGUUGUUUUUGGCCGAUCUCUAGGGACACACUGAAGAUGGAUGCAAAGAGAAAAUACAAGCUCAUUGUUCGCGAUGAUCAAAAUAUUGUAAGAAAAAUUUAAAUAUUGAAUUAAGGGUGGGGAGUUUAUAUGAAUCUUAUGAAGGUAACUGAUUGUCUGUCUUCAAUACGUUUCAAUGCAUUUUCUUUUCCUCUUACCUCCAUAAUGCCUAUUAAAGUAGUAGUGUUUAAGCACAGAUCUACUUUGUGUGGAGGAUUAAACAAGGAAACGCUAUAUCGCUUCUGUUUCAUGCGCCAUUAGUGUCAGAGAGAGAAUUUGCAUUUUUAUCCCGUCCGUCUGCCGUUUUGUUUUGUGCAGGUAUGUUUUAUGUAGCAUAAUUUCAGAAAACUAAAGUCAGACCAUUCUGUUUUUGCUUUAAACCUUGAAUUCUAAUUAAAA